UACGUAGGGUGCAAGCGUUAAUCGGAAUUACUGGGCGUAAAGCGUGCGCAGGCGGUUAUGUAAGACAGAUGUGAAAUCCCCGGGCUCAACCUGGGAACUGCAUUUGUGACUGCAUAGCUAGAGUACGGUAGAGGGGGAUGGAAUUCCGCGUGUAGCAGUGAAAUGCGUAGAUAUGCGGAGGAACACCGAUGGCGAAAGGCAAUCCCCUGGACCUGUACUGACGCUCAUGC
rnacentral:rRNA from 1 species